AGAGACCUCAAGCGUUAUCCGGAUUUAUUGGGCGUAAAGGGUCCGCAGACGGUUUGGUACGUCUUGCGUCAAAUGUCGAAGCUCAACUUCGGCACUGCGUGAGAUACGGCCAAGCUCGAGGUUGGGAGAGGCCAUCGGAAUUGCCGGUGUAGUAGUAAAAUGCGUUAAUAUCGGCAAGAACACCAAUUGCGAAGGCAGAUGGCUAGAACAAACCUGACGUUCAGGGACGAAAGCGUGGGGAGCGAAAGGGAUUAGAUACCCCUGUAGUCCACGCCCUAAACGAUGAAUGCUAGGCAUUGGCAGUAUCGACCCUGUCAGUGUCGGUCACCUAAGGUAACCCCUUAAGCAUUCCGCCUGGGGAGUACGGCCGCAAGGCUA
rnacentral:rRNA from 1 species